AAUUUCCAAGUAUUUCUCGUUCUCUCUGUGCUUUAUAUGUCAAGUUAUAGUUUAAGUUUGUCUUUUGUUGAAGCAUUUUUCCUGUUUCCCUGUGAUUGGGUUGAUACUUAUCUUGAAAAUUUAUCGUUUAUGUAUCUAACAUGGUAUCGAUUACCUUCCUUAAAUUCAAGUCUGGAACAUUUUCUCACUCUUACACUUUGUUGAAUAAUAUGUACACUUUGGAAAAAAAAAAGGUUAAUGCAUGAGUAAUUUAAAUUUAUACUUACAAAAACAAAGACAGCAGUGAAGAUUUCUCCAUUUUUAUGUCUAGAUGUUGUUUUGCAGUGAUCAAGCUCUUGAAUUCAGAAAAAGUAGAAAGGAAGAGAAGCGAGGCAAGAGAGGGUCUGACACAGCUGCACUUUCUACUGGAUCUGAUGGAGGGCCACCUGAUAUGGGGGCUCUUUGUAUCUGAUCUUUUGCCAAUGUAGUGCACCAUUAUCUAUUGAAUUUCAGAUAUCAGUAUGUGUGCAGUCUUUCAAAUAUUUGAUUAGAUUAGACAAAAUGUUUUUCUAUCUAUAUUAGCAUGUAUUUGAUGCGUGCAUCUCUUCUUCGAUCUUUGGGAUAAGUGCACUUUCUAGUUUUCCAUCUGUUGCCAAAUUUGCAAAGAUCUACAGGUACAAAAUUUUCAAUGGUGUUACUUUUCUCAGAUAGUCUGCUCGUCUGAUGCGUUUUAUACUGGCAAUUGUAAUUUGGAUAUUCUUUGUACACAUAAUUGAGGCGCAUGCACAUAACACCUACCCUGGUAGAUUUGUUGGCAUUGGCAGGGGUGAGUUCGGUCAGCAACCAAAGGGGAAGAAGAUAAGGAAAUUCAGUUAUUGCCAUCCCAGGGUUAAACCUUUUCAUGAAUAUAAAAGAGACGUUCACAUGAAUUUGACUAGUGAUGGUUUAAUUUUUGAAUUUCCUUCCAAAGUAUUGGUUUUGCUAUAAUUGUAGUUUGGGGUUCCUGUGAAGACGUUAUUAUUUUUCUUGUUAUUUCAUUGACAAGAAAUGCACUAAGCAUUUAUGCACACAACUUCUUGUAAUUGAUGAAUGAUUUGUAUGGAUCCAAAAUGCACCUAACCUUCAUCUACAAGGAUCUGAAUGCAAAUCAUUUGUAGUUGGAGACGACACAGAUAUUACAUAUGCUAGCCCCUUCAUUCAAAUUGGUGCAGAUUUCUAAGAUUAAACAAUUUUGACUGUUAUGCUUGGUUAUUUUGGCAAAAAAUUGUGUCUCAUAGAUCUUUUGUCGGUUGUUAUUAGUUGUUAUAUCAUCAUAACCUAUGUAGCACUGACACGGACACGUGACACGCGACACGACAUGACACGACACGCCGACACGUCAUUUCUUAGAAAUAGAGAAUUUCGACACGUUCCGACACGUUAUAUAUUAAAUAUAUUUUUAUAUAUAACUAUAUAAAUAAAUAAUAAUAAUAAUAGCCUAGAAUUAAUUUACAUGAAAAAUAUUAAAUAAUAUCAUUCAUUAUUUUAAUUUGUUACAAUAAUACACAAAACUUAGAGGAAAAAAAAACAUUGUUUAAAGAAAAAUGCUGAAAUGAUAUUUUUAAAUUUAUUUAUUUAUCAUAUAUAGCAUUUUUUAUUACUUCUUUCAUAGUAAAAGACUUUAAAAAAAAUAAAACAAUUCUAAAAAAACAAAACUGAAAAAAAAAAAUUGACCCCGUGCGUGUAUAUUUAUAGCAAUUGUAUUACUUCUUUUGUGUAUAUUUAUAUUUUGACCCCUCAAGUAUUAAAAUUUUUUAAAAUUGACCCCGUGCGUGUCGGAAUUCUGGACUCGCAUGUCGGAGCGUGUCGGAGAGAGUUGACCACGUGUCGGAUUUUUCGACACUCGUUGACCGCGUGUCGGAGCGUGUUGGGACGUGUCGGAGCGUGUCGGACACGUGUCGGACAUGACACGAAAGCUUCUGGAGAGUGUCCGUGCUACAUAGAUCAUAACAUCGUUUAGACUAAUUAUAGUCUCCAAACCUCUUAAGUGAUGGAUAAUGUGUAGAUAUCAUGAGCAUCUGUGAAGUUUUAGCAGUAGAUUUUCCAGUUAUGCCACAAUUUAAAUCCUGACCUUUUUCUCGUUGUUUUUGUGGAAUUGCAUUGUGUCAGAUGUGGCUUGUCCAGUCCUCAAGAUUCACAACAAUAUUGCGGGUUCAUCAUUGCAUCCACUAGGGAGUGGGAGAGAGUCGAAUUGUGAGCAGAAAACUAAUGCUGAAAGAAGUCUAUAACUCAAGCUUCUCUCCAGAGCAAGUUAUGAGGUUACUUAUAAUUUUUUUUUCUUUGGCUUGCCUCAAACAUAAAUCUUUUCAUUCUCUAUUAGCAAACACAGAGCAGAUGUUCGUAUAAGGCUAUCCUCUGUCUUCAAAGGCUGGUACCUUACUAGUCUUGUCUACUACUUUGUCCCAAAAUAGGGAAAUAAAAAAUCCUUACUUCUUCAUCUAACAGCUUAUCAAGCAUUGAACCUUUCAUGUUGAUGCUGCUCUAAUACUGUAGGGAGUUAAGCGAUCUGUUAAGCUAAUACAACUCAAUGUGUAGAUUGAUUUAUUCCAUGUAAGAAUUGAAAAACAGUUGCUUCUUCUGCAAGAUAGCAAGGUGUGCCUUGUGAGCCCCAUUUUCAUUCAAAUGGUGAUCCAACAUAUGGGAGGGCAUAAUUGCAAAAUGAUAUGGGAGAAUGUAGACAUCACGACAACUUAAAUGCGAUAAAAGCAUCUUCGGCUUGGCCUACGCUGUGAUGUUCCGUGGAUGUCUAGGCCCAUAAGUGGACUUUUCCCAUCAUGUGCCGUUGUUGAACGGGCUUGGUCAACCCGCUUCUUCAUUGUCACUGAGAAGGUGGUCUAUAAAAGCCAGGAGACCAAACCUAGGUCCCUUACAUGAGAUAAGUGUACCUAGCCAGUAACUCAGCGUCUAGUAUAAUAGACUUCCUUUGUUUCUCUGCCAAAGAAAAAGACUUCGAUAAAGUUCUGACUUUCAAUCAUUGAUCUAGUUGUUAGGCAUGUAUUUAAGUUCUAUCUUGCGGUUAUGUUCAACCAUUUUGUAUUAUGAAUUUAGAAGAACUUUAAUAGGUAAAUACUGGAUGCAUUGUAUUCAAAUUUCUCGUCCAUUGAUUUUGCAGGUUGGCUCCGCCGGGUUCAUUCCAAUCAGAGUAAAAAAAGGCCAAUAGUAGAUCAAUGAUAGUUUAGUUGGAAUAUAGGUAGUGUAAGAGGAUGAUCAUCGAAGAGUGCUAACAAAGUUUAGAAUCACCAUUGGGAGAGUUGUGUCAUAUAAGGGACAAGGUCAUGAUAUUAUAUCAUGUGGUAGGGACGUGUCGUGCAACAAGAAAAUCAAUUUCAAAAGGUAGGUGUCAAAGUAAAGUGAUCAGCAUUUCAUAUGACCAAUUUUUUAUCCACUGAUUUUGUAGAUGUGCUCUGGCGGGUUCAUUCCAAUUAGAGUACGGAAGGGCCAGACUUAGGUCAACGAUAGCUUGGUUGGAGUAUAGAUAGUAUAAGAGGAUGAUCAUUGAAGAGUGCUGAUCAAGUUUAGUGUCACCACAAAAGGAGGUGUCUCGUGCAAGGGACAAGGUCAUGAUGUUAUAUGACACGGUAGGACCUAUGGGGUGGCAAGUAAAUCAAUUUCAAAAUUUAAGCAUUAAGUAAAAUAAUCAACAUUUCAUACGAUCAAUUUAAUUUACUAGUCACAUCAUGUCAAUCAUCAGCGAUUUGACUACCGAAUAGAAUAUCUUUUUCAAAUGAGGGGAUAGUCCCUCAAAAAGUUUUUGAACUAGAACUUCCAAACUCACAAGAACUUCGAGGAAACCUACUCCCUUUGAAGAAAUGCUACUCAUUGUCACCUAAAGUUGCGAGGACUUUCCAAGAUGUACCACUGUUGAUAUACUCUUACUAGUUGCUAAAUAGACAUUCCGUCACUUAAGAGUUCGUAGAAAGAAUUUACUAUGCUAUUCAAUGAUUACUAAGGGCACGCAUGACAACCAUUCUGUUCUAAAAAUAGUUUCUGGAACAGAAAUAUAUUUUUCUAUUUUUAUUUCUAGAAGAGUUUCUAAACAAAAAUAACCGUUUGAUAACGACAUAAAAUUUCUACUCUAAAAAUAGAAAUUCGUUUGAUAACGACACAAAAUUUCUUCAUUUCAGAUGGCGGCGGCGACGACUGGUGAACUUUAAUAUAAAAAAUAAAAAUAAAAAUAAAAAUGAUUUAGUAACAAAAAAAAUAAAGAAUAAAAUAAAAUAAAAUAAAUCAUAAAAAAAUAAAAAUAUCAUUUUAUUUUAAAAUAAAAAUAUCCUUAAAAAUAAAUUUAUUUUAUUUAUUCUAUUUUAUUUUAUUUUAUGAAUAAAUUUACUUUAAAAUGAAUAAAAAUAAAAAUAAAAAUAAAUUUAUUUGGCAAAACACUCAAGGCAAAUAAAUUAUUUUUAAUAAACUAAAACUAAAAUGAUAAAUAAAACUAAUAAAUUUAUUUUUAAUAAAUUUAUUUUUAUUUUUAAUAAAAUGAGGAGAGGCGGAGGAGGAGGAGGAGGCAAAGACGUAGAGGAGAUGAGGGAGGACUCACCGAAAUUAGGGAUUAGUGGGAGAAAUUAUUUCUGAUUUCUCUUCUAUAAAUCAAAAGUAGAAAAUUUCUAUUUCUGAUUUCUCUUCCAAAUCAAUUUCUAGAAUAGAAAUUUAUUCCAGAAAUAGAAAAACUGAGUAGUUGAUAUACUCUUACUAGUUCCAGAAACAGGUUUAGAACAGAAUUAAGAGUUCGUAGAAGGAAUUUUUGGUUAUCAUACAUCCCCUAAGUGAUAGGAUCAACAAGACAUAAACUCUACAACCAAAUUACUAACCUUAAAAGGAAGUUAGCUUACUACAGGUGUAGCGAUGAUCAUGAGGACUCCACGGAACUUACAAUCGUUGUACAAAUAAUUUAUGAUGCACAAAUGCUAUCAAUUACAAAUAAAGAGGGAAAUUACUGUAUCAAUGGAGAAUUGCAAAAUGACAGCACCCUCAACUUAAGAAUAACGAAAAUCAUUGGGGGUUUGCCUCAAUGGCCACCCUUCAAACUUGGAAGGGGGAGGUGGAGGGUUCAAAUUCCCACCUUCUUAAGGAGGAUUGGGGUGGGGACGAUUUCAUUUCAGGAGUAGGUUUCGACUCCCACGCCCUGCAAGGAGGCAGGGCAAAAGUAGGUUUCGACUCCCACGCCCUGCAAGGAGGCAGGGCAAAAGUCUAAGAGUGAGUGUUAGUAUAGGAUUAGAGUAUGAUCGACCAUAAAAAAAAAAAAAAACUUAAGAAUAACGAAGAGAUGUUUGCUAUGGAAAGUUAUUAAUCAUGGGCGCAGUACAACUUUUUGAGGAUUUCGCGUGAGUGACAACUGUUCUGGAAUAUUUACUGAGAAAUUUCAUUAUUUGUUACGACUAUUUGAUGAAAUUAACUAAAUUAAUUUAAGUCUACUAACGACUAGGAUUGACAUACGGGUAUAACAAUGAUUAUUUUGUGGCGAUGAGUAAAGAUUAAAAUACAGCCACAAUAGGAAUAUGUGUAGAAACACAUAAAUAGUGCCGUAAACCUUUUCUGCUUCAUCUAUAAACCGCGUGAAAAAAAUUUGAAAUUGCCCAAGCAAAGGGAAAUGAUCCUAGGAAAUAAAAUAUGAAUAUUGUUUCUUAAGGGAUAGAGCACACCAUAAGUUCUAAAACUUGCUACAAAAAUACAAUUAAUUCCUAAAAAAAAAAAAAACAAAAAUGCAAUUGAGUUUUAAAACUUAUUCAAUUAAUAUAAUCAAGAACUUCCAUCAGUCCUGUCCAAUUUGAGUGUUAGAAUAUACUAGAAUUGUCAUCUUUUGAUAUGUUUUGAGCACACAUCCCGAAGAUACUCCGGCCAUACAUGAUGCCUGGUUCUAAUGAAGAGAAGUGUCUUGUGUACCAAGUCACCCUCUAUCUCUUCACAUAUGUUUGAAUAGGACAUGAGAGAUUGAAUUGAAUGCCAUCUGUUACUCCAUCAACAAGAUAGAUGCUUGAGGCAUCAAGAGACGUAUUGCCAAUUCUAUUUUGUUUUGUUGGCUUCUCAAUGAUAGCUUCCUUAAGAUUUGCAACCCAGUACUAGCCGACUAGCGUCUUCCCAGUUAUUCUUUCAUAUCUUUCCAUUUCCUUCGUUCGACACGGGAGAGACGCGGGAGAAAUUUGCGGAAGAACUCUCUAUUCUCUUUUUCACAGAGUGACGCUGGAUCCACUAAUUGAUUGUCUUCAAGCACAACCUUCAGAUCAUCAUCUAGUUGCUCGCAUAUUAGCACAUAUCCCAACUUUUCCACGGUUCCACUCGACAGUGUGAGUGUAAGGCUAAAUUUAAGUAAUCCUCGUCAAAUUCAAGAAAAUCAAUUGCUCCUUCCAACACUCCCCAUAGCACAUUUGGUUUGAUAUACUAAAUCCACAUGUGAUCCGAAUGAAAUGAACCAAGAGUUCCUAAUAGUGCAUUCCAUCUUUGGUCGUUAACGUGGGGCACGAUGUCAUAAAAUAUUUCCUUUUCUCCAUCUUCUACGGUGAAAACAACACAGCCAGCCAACCCCAGGAACUUAUCAUAAAAGUCCUGUGAAACCAUGAAAGAUAUGGUAUUGCCUUCAAUGGGGACGAACUCCUUUGGCAAAUCUACUCCGGGGAGAAUAUUUUGUAGGAACGAUAAAUUCCGGAAUAGCGAUACUUAUGUUAUACCAGUAAAUUGUUAGACAUGCUUAAGUUGAUACUCAGUUCAAAUAGAAGAGUUUGAUUUGAGAAUUUUUCUGAUAAUUUAACCAAAGCUAGAGAUUUAUAAUUAUUAAACAUAUCGAUCUUUCCUGGCCUUAUAUGUAAUACUUAUGAAAUCAUUCACUUGCGAGUGUUGUAGCACAUGUUAGCACAUGUAAGUAGGGGUGAGCGUGGUUCCAGGUAGAACCGGGAACCGGAACCGAACCGGAGGAGGUUCCGGUUCGGUUCCCGGUUCUAAGGGGACCGGUUCCGGUUCCUGGUUCUCUUUUUCCGGGAACCAGAACCGGCAUAGUUAAAAAUAAAAAACCCUAACUCCUUCCACGCGAUUACCUCCCCCCCACUUCCGUUCAACUUUCCCUUCUUUCCCUUUCUUUUUCUCUCUCUCUUUUCUCCACUUUUUCCUCCUCACGUCACUUCCUGCCCCCCACUUUUUUCUUUUCCUCUCUCUCUCUCUCUUCUCUUUCCCCCUCUCUCGGCCGAACCCCCCACCUCUUCUUCUUCUUCUUCCUUCCUCUCGCCGGUUGCUCUUCACCCACCACCACACCGCCACCCCACGCCCUACUCACCACCACCUCUUGGCCGCCGAACUCCCACCACCCACUGCUCGUCCAACAAGCCGUCUCACCGUUGAGCCCGAUGAGCUGUCUUGCCGUCCGCGCCACCGUGAGGCACCGCCGCCGUCCAAAUCACUUGUUAUCGCAGUUGUUCUCCUCUUCCAUACUCUGCCUCUCCCCCGUCCUGACACCGCUUGCCCUCACCCUCGACUCCGCUGCCUGACGCCGCUCACCCUCGACGCUGCCGCCGCCGCCGCCGGACGCCGCUCGCCCCGCCCUUGCCUCCCUCGAUGCGGUCGCCCCCCUCUCACCCCGACGCUUAGCCACUCGACGCUGCCGCUGGACGCCGCUCUUCCUCGACUCCACCACCGGACACCGCUCAUCCCCUGGUGGACGCCGCUCGCCCAGCCACCCCGACGCUCGCCGCUCGUCCCGACGCUCAGCUGCUCGCCCCGACGCUCGCCCCGACGCUCAGCCACUCGACGCCCGCUCGCCCUCGAUGCCGCCUCUGGACGCCGCUCGCCGCUCGCCCAGCCACCCCCGACGCCGCUCGCCUAGCCGCUCGCCGCCCCCCCAAGCCGCUUGCCCUGUCGCCCCCGAUGCCACCUAGCUAUAGAUCGUCUCAACGGCAAUUCGCGAUGUCAGUGAGUGCUCGAUUUCUCUUGGCUCUGUCUCUAUUUUCUUCUGGGUUCGNNNNNNNNNNNNNNNNNNNNNNNNNNNNNNNNNNNNNNNNNNNNNNNNNNNNNNNNNNNNNNNNNNNNNNNNNNNNNNNNNNNNNNNNNNNNNNNNNNNNCUUGAGCUGUAGUGUUACAGCAAGCUCUAAGCAGCAAGACAAGCAUAAGGUUCUUGGAGUAAAGGAUCUUCGAGUAGUCUCAGAUAGUGGGAGCACCUACUCUGAUUUUUUGUAAAGGAAAAGGCCUGCUUCGAUUGCUGCCAGAGGCUUAUAUCAUGGUCACGGUAAGCAAAGUUUCUUUAUUCUUCUUAGCAAGAGAGUGCACCAGCGACUGCCAACUUAAGGCUUGUAUUUUUCCUCAGAGACACGGUAUGAGGCACAAGCUCAGUGGUGAGUCCUCCAUCCGCCCUCUAAGUAUGUUUAUGAAUAAGGCGCGGAUAAGUCACAACUUUUUCUUUAGCUUUGUUUCUCUAGUUUAGACAUAUCUCUUCCUUGGUUACCAUCAGAUUCUUCCAUUAGCAAACUAUGGAAUAGAUGUGUCAUCUUUAUUUGUAGAAUAUUGUAAGAUUAUGUUUGGAUGUGGGUGCCUGCAUUCAAAUAGACCCAAAUGAAAAGAUAUAUGAAACCUUGACAUACAAAAGCUUCUCUUUUGGAUUUAUUUCUUUGUAAUGUGUCUCCAAAAGACUGAGUUGGUUAUGGCGUUCUGUUCAUUUUGUUCUUUUGUGGUAGUCAUGGAUUUAUUUCUUUGUAAUGUGUCUCCAAAAGACUGAGUUGGUUAUGGCGUUCUGUUCAUUUUGUUCUUUUGUGGUAGUCAAGUGGUAGGUAUAUGCUUUAAAUUAUCUGAAAAUCUGCAUCAGUCAAUAGAUUUGCUUCUAAGGUCAAUAAAUUAAUCUUAUAUACUAUAAAUAAGGUUGAAGGUGUUAUGGGCAUCAGUCAAUAGAUUGUUUUAUUAGGUUGCUCUAUAAUUCUUAUGGUCUCUACCAUAUAAUUGAAUGUCUCUUGAAAUUUCCACUUAUUUUAAGGGUUAUAGCCUGCUAGUUGUUUGAGCUUGAACUUGACCAAAUAAUUAUGAUUUACUCCCUUUUUGCCUUUUCCAAUUCUGUUGAUCAUUAACUUGAGCUGGUAAUAUACUUUGAGGCAUCUAAAUCAGAGAAUUUGAACAUAGAAUUGUGAGAACCAGGUUCUAAUUGUAUCCAUUAAAUUUUAUUUGUUAUUGGUAUAUUUACAUUUGUUGAAUUUUCCCCUUUUGCAUUUAAUGCAGGUGAUUCCAUGUGUUGUGCUGUCUCUAGUGAUUCACCCCGCAACACACCAUCAUAUCAUUAACAAGAUUUGCUGGGCCUUUUGUGUUUAUCUUGAAGCUGUUUCAGUGCUACCCCAGCUCCGUGUCAUGCAGAACACAUAGGUACUGCAAUGUCCAAAUCCUGUAAUGGCGAUAUGCGUGGAAAAUAUCUAUGUCAAUUGAAACAGAGUGUAAAAGGACCUCUACUUCUUAUCUGUUGGUCACUUACACUUAUAGAGAUAGUUUGAUGCCUAAAGCCCCUUCAUUAAGUUUUCUUUUGCCACUCGCUCCUUUACUUUGAAUCUUUGGCUAUUUCUUUUGUAUAUUUGUGUCAGCCAGGUUUGAGAUUGCUCAUUUGUGAACUACAAUUUCUAUCAAUUUGCUAUCUGUCUUGCAAAGUUGGUGUUUUGCAAUCACUCCAAUGCAUACACAUCACAUCUAGUGUGUUGGCUUAUACUAUGCUGACAAGAAAUUCCCAUGGGUUUUUUGCUGCAUAGCUGUCUCAAACAUUGGUCUUAUGUAAAUGUUGACAGCACAUCUAUUGGCUUUUUUUCUUCUCUGUUACUGAGUUUGUACCACUCUUUAUAAUUUUGGGGUACUCAAUUGAUAAAGGAAAGGAGGAAGAGAAAAAAAAAAAAAAAAACCCCAUUGGAACCUGUUGGAACCUGGAACCGACCCCGGAACCUGUGAUAGGGUAGGUUCCAGGUUCUUGGUUUUGACGGGUAGGUUCCAGGUUCCAAAAAAUGAGGAACCUGUACCCGAGGGUAGGUUCUAGGUUCUAGGCGGAACCUGUAAGGAACCGGGAACCGCUCACCCCUACAUGUAAGUGAAGAAUGACUUUAUGUUAGAUUUGUUUAUUUGUUUAAAAUUUUCAGUUUUUGCAUAAUGCAAACACAGUGUGCCCGACAUACACCAACAAAUUAACACAUGCACUUAUGAUCGCACGUGCAUCCGCCGGGGGGGGGGGGGGGGGGAGACCUCAACUGAAAAGUCAGCCGUGAUAUCGGUGCGUGGGAAAGAAUGCCUAUCGUCAAAAUUCUUCUAAGCUUGUUGGGCUUGUUGAGUCUUUAUCUUCACGGUCUAUCCACCGCUAUUACAUAUAGGUGUAAAAUCACAAUAUGUAAGGUUGUAUUGUUUACUGGUUAUAAAAACACAGCACCCAUAUCAAUCACACAUACGCACCACAAUCGCGGAGAGAGAGAGAGAGAGAUCAACUGAAAAGUCAGCCAUGAUAACGGCGGGUGGGGAGUCAUCCAUAUCGUCGCCUUCUUCGGAGCUUGUUUGGUAGUUGUCUUCAUGGUUUAUCCCCGCUAUUACAUAUAGGUGCAAAAUCACAAUAUAUUAGCUUGUUUUGUUUACUAGCAUUAGCAGUUUUGCAUUAUAAAAACACAAAGCACCCAUAUCAAUCACACACACCACAAUCGUGGAGAGGGGGAAGGGGGGAGGGAGGGAGGGAGGGAGGGAGAGACCUUUUCCAGAUUUGAGAGAUUGGCCGAAAUUUCUUCCUCUGUGGUCGUUUCUUUAUUUUGAUGCCAAAUCUCAUAGAACAAACUUGGAGCUAGCAACAAGUCUUGAUCCAAAACCUCCAAAUCGUCCUGUAAUGGCUUGCAUAUUAAUCGAAAUCCGCAAUUUUUAACAAUUACACCAUCCGAUGCUCUAAUGCCUAACUGGAAAGAACUCGAGUCAUUUGGACCAAAAGGGUCUUCUCCCCAAAACUCCUCCAUUGAAAAAGCCGAAACAUACGCAUGAUCCGAAUGCCAUUGACAUGAUGUGCCUAUGUGCACAGCCUUGCAUUUGCCAUUAACGUAUGGAUGGAGCAUCAGUCUAUUUCGUUUCCCUUCCUCUGCUCGACAUGCAACGCAGAUAACUAAUCCUAGGCACUUCUUAUACAAAUCCUUUGAAGUAAUGAAAGAUAUAUAACCCUCUUUAUUCGGAAGUAACCAUUGCAGCAUCUCUCCUCCAGGUAGAACAAUUUCGUAAUCCAAUUUGAGAUGAGAUUGCUGUCAUAGAUGUAAAUUGUUAAGACAGUAUUUCAAAUUUGGCACUUGAAAAAGAGGAGUUUCAAUGAGUCAAGUUUAGCUACAAUUAGCAAUACAUGUACACGACUCCGUAUUAAUCAGAGAGAGAGAGAGAGAGAGAGAGAGAGAGAGAGAGAGAGAGAGAGAGAGAGAGAGAGAGUCUAAUCUCAUUAAGUCAAUAUGAACGGCCUGUAUGUCGGAGGGAAUUCUAGCAAAGCAUGCGAUUGCCCUGGGAUCUUGCCAAUCUCUUGUAGCUGUCGGCAUUCCGAAACAUUCAAAUCGCGUAAAUUAUGAAGCUGCCUGUAUACUGGAAGCUUAGCAAAAUUGUUUUCGGACAAAUCCAAACAUAUUAAGGAUGGAAAACUUGAAUUAUUCUCUAGGAACUCUACUUCUAGUAGAUUGCAUCCCCUCAGCCCUAAAAGCCGUAGCUUGGGAAAUCCUGUCUUGCUAUGUAGAUUACUCAAAUCCUCCUCCUUUUUUGGAAACUUGAUUAGUUUUGAACAACCGGAAAGUAUCAAUUUCUUAAGAUUUGGCAACUUGUAAAUGCUAGAUGGGAGGUUUGUCAGUUUCUUACAAUUAGUUAAACUCAAAUUCUCCAAGGAGACAAGAUUUUCUAUGGAUGUCGGAAGUUCCUCAAUUGAAGUCCCUCUUAAAUAAAGUUUUUGCAAGCCUUUGAUUUUAUAUGGAAUAUCAAGGAAUCUUUGCAACUUUGAGUAGUCAGUAAGAUUGAGAAGUUGAAGGUUCUUGGCUUGGAACACAUCAAGGAGAUGACAAAGGUUAGAGCACCCUUUUAGAUUCAACAACUGUAACUUGGUGUGAUACGCAACUGAUUUGUCAACGCGCUCCAAAUUUUCGCACUGUUCGAGGACCAGUUCCUUGAGAUUUGGAGUCAAAUUGAGGUCCAGCAUAAAAACCAUUGACGGGCAUUCACUGAAGUUAAGGAACUUCAAUUUUGUAAAGUCCUACAAGAAACAUCCCGACAAAAAAAAGAUGAAGGAUAAAAUCUUUUAAUGAAAAACACUUGAUCAUCAUUCAAGCCCCAUGUGAUCAGAAAUUAGUUGAUCAUAUGGUGCACAUAGAGCACUCCCUCUCCCUUUUUAAAUAUAAGUUUAUUAAGCGAUCCUUGGCCAAAAGAGAAGAUAAAAAAAGAAUAAUACUCGUAAUUCCACCACACACUAAGCUAUAUCAAGCGACAUACAAGAGAAAUCAUUCCAAUAAUAAGUAGCGUGGCCACUUAUACUAGGUGUACGUUUAGAAACAAUACAUGUAAUCAGGGAGUGUAACCUCAAGUGGAAGCACAUGAGCCAUGGUCAAAUCCCUUGCCAACUAAUUCAUGACAUGAAUUUAAGUUGACAUAGGUGGCACUUGAUAGAUCUACAAUCUUAUGCUGAGAUACGCGAACCUGCCAUAAUGGCGGUGGAAGCUCAGGAAUUUCUCAUGUCAUCACUUAUUAGGUCAUGGUACUUGGUUGAUUGAUUUUCAAGAAUUGCACAUUCUGUGGAAUGUAGUAGACUGUUGAUGCGUUAUAUGUUGCUGAACUUAUAUUAGUGAAAUUUUGCGCCUACAUGGUAUUCCGAAGACGACCACUUAUGUUGUGUAGCGAAAGCAUCUUUUAAGUCCUUUGGAUCUUACACCAAUAUCCACCACUAAUAUGGCAAAGUGCUAAGAUAAUCAAUAAGUUAAGUGAGGAAGUGAGGAAGAGAAGUUUGAAGCAAACUGUCAAAUAUCCCAGUCAAGCGAAAAAACAUAGAAAAAGCCUACUAUUUUUUAAGAAGGUGAUCUUGUCUGGAUUCAUUUGAAAAAAGCGCUUUCCACCACGUCGUCUUUCUGCGGAUGGUUCUUUUGUAGUUUUGGAGCACAUCGAUAAUAAUGCCUACAAAAGUGAGCUUUACCGAGAGAAUGGUGUUUCCACUAGUUUCACUGUUGCUAAUAUAUCACUAUGAAGUUGGCCUCGAGGAGGAGUCUUUUCAAGAUUUCAAGAUUCUCACUUCUGAAUAGAAUAAUAGGGAUAAAAUAUAUUAUCCUGAUUAGUGAACCUGUUUUAUACUUUUUAGGAUUGCUUUAGUCUCAAUUACAAUGUGAUUAUAUUUAGCCUAUUUAAAUUUUGUAUUUUAGAUUCAUUUUUCUUUACUUGGAGCUUACUCAAAGGCAUCUUAGGCUCCAACUUAUAAGUGCCCUCUCGGUCUCUCGUAGUAAAUACGACGAAUUUAUUAAAUGAAGUUGCAUUCUAUCUUUUCUUUGUCUUUCUCUGUGUCCUUUUGGUUGACUCAUGAGUGAUCAAGAGGGUGCUGCAUCCUUGGACUGGCCUCCUAAGGUAGUCUCUUCCUAUCCUUUGUAGCGGGGUUUUUCCACUUCAUUAAGAUUGAAAAACCCUUUUAUUUAUUAGUUUGUUCAAUAAGUUCCGACGUCAGUGAGGCCGACGAGCAUGACAGCAAUCAUUGAAAGCCCACAAUGUUUGUCUCAUAGGAGGCAUAGGAAGAGAAAAAAAUAUAAGAGUAUGCACAAGAUUUGAAAAAAUUGAUAUUUGAAAAAUUGAGCAAAACCACAAAAUUAUAAAUAUUUAACGGAAGGAAAUUGUUGGUAAAUGCACCAUACACAAACAUAGAAUAUAUGUAGAAAGGAAAAGAUAUUUUAAGAUUGAAAUUUGCAAUAAGAAAUUCAUUGAAAAGAUUAAAAAUUGUGAAACUUGUGGAGAUCAAAUAAAUUACUAGUUUACGCACCUCUCCAUAAAUACAAAAUUUGUAAAAUAAGCAAUUGAUGACAUUUUGGGGAAGAAAUUAAAUUUAAAUCCUGUGGAUGUUCACCUUUACUUUGUACAGUAGAAUAAAUAUGAAUAUAAAAAUAAUAUGUAUACCAACAUAUAUACAUAUAUAACUUUAGAUUAGAUUUAGGUUUAAAUAUAUUUUAAUUAGCAAAGUGACCCCCCUACUCACUUCUCUUUAGAAAGCCUCAUUAGUCAUGCGUGAAAGCUGUUAUGCACCACUAGCUUGCUAGAUGCAACGCCUUUAUGAAGUGAGACUCUUCCAUGGAGUUGUACUCCACAAGCCUUGUUUUAAAAGGCUGGAGAAGGAAUUGGAUGGUCAAUAUAUACAUCUCCCCUACUGUUCUAUAGCUAGGCGUGCGGACCCCCAACAUGGGGAUGUGCAAAGUUGCUUUCCAUCCUGUGAUUUCUUACUUAGGAAGAAAUGGAGCAAAGGUGCUACCGAAUGAUUCGAUUGAAAGCAAUGAGAGAUUUCUUGAGUAAAUUAUCCUAACUAUUUUUGAAAAUCAAUAGUUUAUCCAUAAAGCUAAAAGAAAACUUUCUUUGAGUUCUGCUUCUUCCUCCUUACAAAUGUAAAGGAAGUACUUCUGAAAAAUCCUUGGUUAGGUUGGUACAACGAAAAAAGACAGGAAUUUUGCAGCUUACUUAAGGUAAAGAUUAACUUCCUUUAUAGAUCCUUUGCUACGCAAAUUUUAAUAUUUCUCUUUUCAUUUUCAGCUGCAAGCUAUUGGAGAAAGAACAACAGGAGGUUCAAUUAAAAGCAUUUGGCGCGCACUCACAUCAAUGAUAAAGCAAAUAAGUAAGAAAAAAUCUAUAUCUAUUUCCAUAUGCAAUGUCAGAUAGUACAAUUAGAUUGUCUCUGGUAUUAAAUAUAGAAUCUUUGAUGACAUUUUCGUUAUCUAUAUUUCAAAGGCACACAAAUUGAAUCAUCAGUUUAUGUUUAUUAAAAUACUAAGCACAUUCAUCAUUCAAUUAUGUCACCAAUAAGUUCUUGUUCCGAUUUUCGGUAUUAAAGUUACAAACCUUAUAAGUUCAUUCUUCUUAUAAUUUCAGUGCUUGUAACAUUCUGAAAUUGAGGUGGGACCUUUUUAGUGAAUUUUUUUUUAUUCGAAGUAACUUUAAGAUUCACAUUGGAAAGUGUUUUAUCCUCCCCUAAAACGGAGACUCCACUUAUGUUGGUUCAUGUAGUGGAUCGACAACUUGUAUUUAAUGCUUUAAUCAAAUAUAAACAAUUUAAUAGAUCAGAUGUUUCUUAAGCACAUUAACGAGCAUCAUCGGAGUUAAUGAUUGUUGCAUCUAGAGUUUUCAAUAAUUCAUAUACAUAUCCAUCAUCGUAUGCAUACAAAUAUAGAUAUGUAAGAGAUAAGUAAAUAAAGACAAUUAAUUUAUGCGCACCUUGAAUUGCUCCCUCACGACUUGGAUGUUGGUUUUGUGCAGAUCAAGCCCAACCGACUUAUUUGGACAAGAGGAAAACUCAGGAAACCAAGGACAUUUGGACCAUUCAAACCAUCUCAGUUCAUUAGGAAGACAGAUAGGACCUUGGAAAGAGUUAUGCACAUUAAUCAUGAUGAGCAACCUCAACCUUCUCGUGUUUGUGAAAGCAUUGUGAAAUAUGUAUAUUGCUUCUGUCUUGGGCAAAACCAAAACUAUGGCUUUUACUGCAUUUGUUCCCUGCAUUUAUAGAACUUGCAUUGCAAUUAGUACACGAAGUCAGAGACGAAGAGAGUAAAAUCAGUGUUUAAACCACCAAAACUUACCAUAUCCCUCGAUAGAACAUCAUAGACGUCUUCACACAGCCAUAACCUGCUAUGUCUUCCAGGAUCAUCGUGACAUUCUUGUUUAACAAUAUCCAUGCCAUCAACUGAAUCAAGUCAUGCAUCUGUAUUGUCUCCCCUUCUUUCGUUAUUAAGAACUUCUCAACAAGAACUUGUACUCCAAUAGUUGUGUCAAAGUCGCAACUGUUAAGGACUUUCACGAUGUACUCUAUAGAUCGCCCCUUGAAGAAACAUGCAAUAUCAAGGAAUAUCUCCUUUGCAUAGUCCUCUAGUCCAUCAUAACUUAACUUGAGAACAUUGAUGGCUUUGUCAAGACUUUUAGCAAGUUUAUUCAAUGCGCUUUCCCACUCCUGUUCUUUUCUUCCACAUAGGAAAGAGCCCAAUACCUCAAGUGCUAAAGGAAGUCCUUUAGCAUAAUGCAAAGCACUAUCCACAAGAUCCCUCCUUAUCACUAUUUCCUUACUUCUAAGAAAAGCAUGUUUAUCAAGAAGUUGAUGAGCUUCCCAAUCCACUAGAGUUUUAACUUCAUAGAUAUGAUCUUUAUCUAUCCCAUGGCAAGUUAAUAGAUGGUUAUCUCUCGUUGUGAUGAUGAUUCUGCUUCCUUUACCAAACCAUUUGCGCUCUCUAGCUAAAACAUUUAACUGUUUUACGUCAUUGAUAUCGUCGAGAACAAGAAGAACUUUUUUGCGACGAAGUCUAUAUUGGAUCAAAUUAAUACCUCCAUCAACACUAAACACUGUUAAUCCUUUUCCUGGAAAUAUCUCGGACAACAACUCUUCUUGCAAAUGAGCUAAGUCCUUGGAAUCUUUUGAAGUUUCCCGAACGUUUGCCAAAAAACAUGAAGCCUCAAAUUGUCUAAAAAUAUCAUUGUAAAGAGCUUUAGCUAGUGUUGUUUUUCCUAUACCUCCUUGUCCCCAUAACCCUAUUGUAAGAACAUCAUCACGAGACUCAAGAUUUAACAUUGAUUCCAAUAUUGCAACACGUGAACGUAUUCCAAUUGGAUGCUUGGCAACAAAUACGGGUGUUCGGUCUAGUUGCAUAGAGAUCUCCUGCACAAUGCUCUUUAUAGAAUCUGCUUCAUCUUUGAUAAAAUCGGGGAAUUGUACUUGACACAUUAAUUAACUUUCAUGGGAAAAAAAUGGAAGAUGUAUUCAGCAUAUAAAAGGAAAAAGAAAAAGAAAAAAGAAUGUAACAUCAAUCACUAGUCAGUACUUACUUGUCAUUCAAAUCCCACCCAGACAAGCUACCGGCAUCAUAAAGAGUCUUCUCCCAUCUCUUCACCUUCUCUGAAUCUCUCCCAAACUUGCUGUCAUGCUUAACCAUAGCUUCUUGGUAGCUUCCUCUUGGUGUUCUCACUUCUUUGGGUUCCACUUUGUAAAACACUGGAAACACUGUGAGUCCUCUUUGUUCCUUGCAUUCCAUGAUUUUCUCCACCUCUUCCAAACACCACGGUGAGGAAGCAUAGUUCUCGGAGAAAAUGAUGAUUGCGAUGCGUGAGUCCUCGAUUGCAUUAAUAAUCGCUGGUGUUAUUUAUUUGCCUUUUUGAAGCUCCUUGCUAUCAAUGUAAGUGUAGAUUCCUUUCUGAUCAAGAGUUGCAUACAGAUGACUGAGGAAGUUGUUUCGAACGUCCGUACCUCGGAAACUCAGGAAGACGUCGUAAUUCCCUUUCCAAUUCGAAGAAGUGGCUUUUAGAGGAGAUGAAGGUUGAUGUGCAUCCUCAGAAUGCGUAGUGCCUUGUCGUGUUGCAGCUUUAUCUCUCAUGUGGAUAUCACUUUGUACUAAUAAAGAAAUAGAAAUGAAAACCAAGGUCAUUUUGAUAAGCAUAUUCUCCACCAACUAAUUUAACAAAAAGUGGCAUUUUGCAUAAGGUGCACAGAACCAUCCUAUAUAGGUGCUUCUUGACUUAAAUUGCCUUUCCCAUUAAUAAAAGAAAUAGAAAAGAAAACUAGCAAUACUCGCAUGCUCCUAGUACUAAUAUACAUGAGUCAAUCACAAAACAUAGCCUGUUGGAAUAUUCUUCAUAAUGAACAAUCUUAUUUUUUUCUUUCAAAAGGGAUUCUACAAAAGCAAAUCCCACAAUAAAUUUCCCUCACUUUUCAAACUAAAUUUUUCCAUAUCAUAUAUUGACUAAAGAUUAUCGAGUUAUUACCCCCUUAGCCAUGUUACUUUGAUCUCACUCCUUAAUUUAUCUUUGUUUUUGACAUUUCAUAUUUAUCUUAUACUUUUAAUGUCACAUUUAGAAUUUCUCAGCUAAUGGGUUAUCCAAAAUCGAAUAACUAUUUAGGGAAUAUUUUUUUUCCUUUUUAUUUUGUUUUUCUCAAACCUUUUAUUCCAUGUUAACACUUUUUUUUCUUACCUUCUAGUAAAGAUUAUCACUUAUUCACCUAAAGGUGUUUGUCAUCAGUGAUUGGAUAUUAUGAACCAACUAUAUCAUAACACCAGCUUUAUGUUCCAGUAAAAACUGGAGCCUUACCACUUUGAAUAGCGAUGGCGUAUAAAGGAUUCGUAAAAUGGAAACUUCUACUUCAAUGUCUCGGUGAUAUUAUUUAAUGUAUGUACAGCUGCCUUUCAACGAUGCUCUCAUGCAGGAUCUUUGAAACACUUCUUGCCAUAAAAGGAUUGUGAAAUGUCGAGAUUUUUGUUUUGCAUGGGUUAUAGUUUGAUUGGUGGAUGAUGUUGUGAGAACCUGCCAUCUUUGAGUGAUUUUCAGUGUUUUUAUUCUCCUUUCAUAUCAAAUGAAAAAUACUAAAUACUUUGAUAUAAAGUUUGUGCAUUCUCUCUCAGGUCGAAUCACUGAAUUCAUCUAGUACUAUUAGUAUUGUGGCGCUCCGUGGAGGGCCUUAUGGAGAGUUAAACAUGGGGCUCAUUUGAUGGUUGCCCCCUCACUUCCGUAUGCUUUAAUUUAUUCAUCCUUUUUUUCUCUCCAUUUCCAAAAAAUAACUUGUUAACAAUAAAAAGUACUUUACCUAAAUGAGGAUGUUGAGAUGCGUGAGGGGAAAAGUACAAAAGAAGUCAUGAAACUAUUGCAUUAAUACCAACUUAGUUUUAAACAUUUCAAUUGGACAAAUUUAUCAUAAAUCUUAUUAUAUUGGUACAAAUUAUGUUCACUUGGCUAAUUUAGGUUGAAAAUUAUUAACUUGGACAGAAGUAGUCCUAUGUGGCACAGUCAACAUUAACGCGGACAAUUUUUUAAUUUUUUUAAUUUUUAAAUUCUUUUCAUUUUCUUCUCUUUUUCUUUCUCUUGUUUGUUUUUCCCUUCUUUCUCUCCACACCAGUUGCCACCUCCAUGAUGGCGAGCAAAGAUUACCGGCUAAUGGGGAGGGUAAGGGCCAGGAUGCCCUCGCUUGGGUGAGAGUCUUCACCAUCGCUAGAUGGCUGCAAGGUUGCCCCUCAUUGGCCUUUGGCGACGGCCCUUUUUUAGAUUUAGCGAGGGACGGCCUCACCUAGAUGGCGAGAGGCCUCACCUAGCCCUUGCUAAAGGCUAGGUAGGGUGUCUCGACCCCCUCUAUCGGCCAUCACGAAUGUGGUGAUUGGUGGCAAAGGGAAAUAAUAGAAAAAAAAAAAGAGAAAGGAAAGGGGAAAAAUGAAAAAGAGAAGGAAAAGAAAAUGUCGCGAUCUCCCCUUUUCGUUUGGAGGGGAAGGACAAUAGGUUUAGGGGUGUUGCCUAAAAGACAGGUCUACGGCCUUUUAUUAGGCGUGGGCUCUCCCAAGUCUUUAUCUCACGCGACAUUGGGAUAUUUGAUUGAGCUUCAAUUGACGCUAUAAAGAUUUUCUAAUGAGGAGUCGUCAUUAGUUUAUUGGGAUCAAUUAGAAACCAAAUGAGGUAUGAGAGUGUCUCACUUUUUAUGCAACUAAAAAAAUUUAGGAUCAGGGACUUCAUGUACUAAUUAAUUAAUUAGUAUCAUUUCGUUACCUAAUCUUGAUCAUUUCGAAAAGAUUUUUGUUAAGGCAGUUUGGAAUGAUUUUAAGUCUAUCCACUAACGCAUAAAAUGAUUGCGCUAUAAUUAAAAUAACAAUUAGCAACCAAGGAAACGGUAGAUGAAUUGCAUGGAAGAGCAAUGAUAUACCGUUACCAAAUAAGGAGCAUGCCAUUUCUAACUGACCUAAAGGAAGGCCAUAGUCAUCAUAUUGAAAGUGUGCAAUUAAGAGCGUUUAUUUCUAAAAAUAAUCGAGACCCUAUGGUAAAGUCCUAAAAGCUUGUUCAAAUUUUUAAGGAUUUUUUAUGAAUGAUUUUUCCACAUUUUAAGAGAAAACUACCCCAUAUAUAUAUAUAUAUCUUUUAAGCUUUUUCCAAGGAAUUCUAAUUUUUUGAAUUUUUGGAAUUUUUUAAUGUUUUGAAAUUUUCUUUUUUAUAAAAAAAUUAUUCCGAAAAUAUGGACCCAGGCCGGGCCUCGUGGCCCAUCCCGAAAAUGGGCUGCUAUAGGUCACAAGAAUCUGGGCUCAAGGACACGAAUGGGCUUUACACACUGAAAGGCUUUAAUCGUUUAAAAACGAAUUGGGCUCAACUCAUAGAAUUAAGCCCAAUUCCUCCAGCAUUCAACUAAGCCCAAUCUUUUGACCAAAAACUAAGCCCAAUCCCAACGGAUCAAGUCAUCUAACCUAUCCAGAACCCAAAACAUACUAAGGUCAAAUGAGCCCAAAGUCAUCAAAAUCCAGCUUCGGCCCCUACUUCCACGACAUGGAGAACUUCCUUCCUCCCUUGUUCUCUUCAUCCUCCCCACUCCCCAUAACAUAAAUACGUCACCACUUGAUAUUAAUACUUGCGAUCAACCAAAGAAAGCGCCGCUUAUGUACGGCCCAAAUUCGAAUCUGUUUAGGCAUUUCCUCAAACAUGUAGUGGGCAACGAGUUGGAGAGCGAAUAUGGACCUAUUCGGAGCUUGAGCUCACACCUAAACUCAAGAGAAAUCAGCGGGCAACGUUCAAACUUAAGAAAAACCGACACAUUCAGGUCCAACGCGAGUGAGGACUAAAGAAAUCGAGCUUGCUUUGGUCUUUUAAAAUCAAGCAGGAUGAGUCAAAAAAAAAAAAAGAAGAAGGAAGGAACGAGCAUUCAAUCGUGGGGGCCUUACCUGGCUUGGAUUCCGUGGGCAUCAUCGGCGGCGAAUGUUGAGAAUAGCGACUCCAAACUCGUGUCGGGCUUCAGUCGACUCCACCGAGGUCAGGGACGGGGACGACGAAUGGUAGCGGGCGGACGAUGUUCUGGAGGUGGUGGAAGACGUAGAUCGGCUGUGGCUCCGAGGUUUUCUGUGGAGCUUCAAUGGCGGCUGUGCCCAGAGGAGAGAGAGACCAAAAUGCUUUUUGCUUCUUUUUUGUGAGAGUAAAGAAGUAGGCCACGGUGAAGAAGUGAGGUAGGACUUGUUGGAGAAAUCUUUCCAGAAUAUUUUGAAGCUGACAAAACGUUUCUAUCAGUCUAGUCUGAAGCAUUGCAGACCCUUCUAUUUAGAGUCUGAUCAAACUCUAGACUCAAGACUCAAGACUCAAGACUAUUCUCACUGACAGUUUCUAAUCCAGUGACGAAGACGAUCCAUAGCUAAUGUGUUUGGUUAAGGAUUUGGUCUUAUCCACUGGAAAAGAUCUCUUGGCUGGAUAUGAUAUAACGGAUUCUUUUAUUCGAAAUCAAGAUCGUUUGAAGAUCUGAUGAUUGACGAAAUAUUCUUGGAAUGUUCUAUUCUUGGAAAUCAAGAUCCUGAUUGUAUGGGCGAACGGGAUUGAUGGGCUAUCGACAUGUACCUUUAAUAGCUCGAAUGAUCUUCUUAAUUGAUUCUGUCCAACGGGAAGAUUGGAAGAAUUCCUUUGGUAAGUGCCAACGGGUAUGAUGGCAUAAAGGAGUAUAAAAGGAAGACGUUCCAGUUGUUUUAGAAGAUGCACGAUAGAGAAAUUCCAGAGUCUGAAGCUCCUUGAUUAUUAAUCGAUUCAUAUUGAGCAAAGCUGUAUUCACAAAAGAGAGUCUAUACUUAGUGAUACCUUGAGAGAGUGUGGUAGAUCUUCUAUACCGUGAAAUCAAGGAAGAACAGUGCUGUAACAUCUCUUUGUUCAUAGUGGAAUCCAGCCAGUGGGCUGUCAGUGCAGAAGAGUGGACGUAGGCUUGAAAUAAGCCGAACCACUAUAAACCUUGCAUUCAAUUUUCUCUUCCUUACUCUCAGUCUUAUUUUGAUUGUUGUUUGACGAGAAACAAUUGUCUCAAUUCUAUCAACUGUCUAGUAUUGUGCGAUUAUCGUGAGAAAUUACUCUUUAUACCUAUUCACCCCCUCUAGGUACUUUUACUAGCCAUAUCAAUUGGUAUCAGAGCCCGUGUACUCAUUUUAUUUGAAGUGUUUUACUUCAGAGUAAAAGAUCCAUGGCUAGUAUGCUAGCUUUAGGGCUGGUGGAAGGGCAAAGCAAUACCAGACCUCCUUACUUUGAUGGAAAUGACUACAACAUCUGGAAAAACAAAAUGAAAGUAUUUCUUCGAUCAAAGGAUCCUCUGGAAUGGGACGUUGUAGAAAAAGGAAUCACUCCUAAAGUUGCAUCUAUCUCAGAAAGAGGGAAAGAAACUGUUGAGACCAGCGGAAUGACUCAGGAAGAGAUAAUCAAGAGAUAAACUCUUGAUGCAAAAGCUAUUUAUUCUUUAUAUUGUGCCUUGUCACCUACUGAAUAUAACAGAAUAUCUUCUUGUGUUACAGCAAAAGAAGUCUGGGAUAGGUUACAUAUCACCUAUGAAGGAACUGAUCGAGUGAAAGAGACCAGAAUCAACAUCCUUCUCGGUCAAUAUGAAGCCUUCAAAAUGGAACCUGGAGAAUCUAUAACUGACAUGUUUAGCCGUUUUACAGAACUUGUAAAUGGUCUUGAAAAUCAAGGACAACCAAUUUCUGAUCCCAUGAAGGUAAACAAGCUAUUGCGUGGACUCUCCAAGGAUUGGAAUCACAUAAAUACUUCAAUAAGAGAGACGCAAAGAAUCAUGCCACUAUCUGUCGACGAGCUGGUUGGAACUCUUCAGUUUUAUGAAGUGGAACGAAUUAAUGAAGACGAAUAUCCAAAAGGUAAGAAAUCCAUUGCAUUAAAAUCAAAUGAUGAUUAUGAUGUUACAGAUUCUGAAGAUGAUAUGGACGAUGAGGAGCUUGCUCUCAUGAUAAGAAGAUUCAUAAAAUUGAAUAGAAAAGGAAGAAGGUUCAAUUCAAAGAAACAAAGUCUUCAAAGACAACGGACCAAGUCUGUUGAUGAUGAUGAAUCAAACAAAGAUGUAGUUUGCUUUGAAUGUAAGAAAAAGGGACACAUCAGACCCAACUGUCCUCUUCUGAAGAAGAAGAAAUGAAAAGCUGAAAAGUCUCGAAAGGCUCUCAAAGCCGAAACCUGGAAUGAUACAGAGUGUGAAGAAAGUGAUAAUGAAUAUGUCAACUUAUAUCUGAUGGCGCAAUCAGACUCAGACUCAAACUCUGGAUCAGACUCAAACAGUGAAUUUGAGGUAAGUAAUUUUAAAGUUCCUGUCAAAGUUUCUAAGUAUAUUGAUGAGCUAUGUUUUAGUCUUAAGACUUCUCUCAAAAGGAUUUCCGAACUUAAAAAGGAAAACUCCGCUCUAAAACAACAGGAAAACGUUUUAAAAGAAAGAGUUAAAUGUUUAGACAUGAAUGUUUCCACUCUUAAAGAAAAUGAAGAUAGUCUUUUGAAAGAAAAUGCUCUUUUAAAAACUGACUCAUCAAAUAUCUCAAAGAAAUUUUCAAUAGGGUCCGAGAAACUUGAAAAAAUUCUUUCAACUCAAAGACCUUACUUCAAUAAGUCUGGUCUAGGUAUGACAGCAGAAACUAUUCCCUUGAUUGAUUUUCCUAAAGUAAAAGAAAGAAUUAAGCAAAGAUCCUCGAGAGAGGCUUACAAAAAUCACUUCAAGAAGGUUUUUGUAAAGUCUGUAGGUCGAAAUGCCCUCAAGUGUUCAAAGUGCAAUAGCCUAGAUCACUUUCAAAAAGAAUGUCCUAUGGUUUGGAAACCUGUUAAGAAAACAUGGGCUAAUACUGUUUAUCUUACUAACACCAAUGGACCCAAGAAAAUAUGGGUACCAAAGAAAGCUUGAGACUCUCUUUUAAAUGCAGGUCUCCAUCAAGAAAAAGGUAAAGUGGUAUCUGGACAGUGGAUGCUCAAGACAUAUGACAGGAGACUCAAAUUACUUUAUAAAGAUCGUUCAAGUAAAUGGUGGAAAAGUUUCAUUUGGAGGAAAUAGCAAAGGAAGAAUUGUGGGAUUUGGAACUGUGAAAAUUGGAAAUCUCACAAUAAGUAAUGUUUCCCUAGUGGAAGGACUCAAUUACAAUUUUCUCAGCAUCAGCCAACUAUGUGAUACUGGUUUUAAGAUCUUCUUUCAAGAAGGAAUAUGUUCUGGAACCAGUAAAGACUCUACUCAAUCUUUCAUGGGUCGAAGGCAUGGAAAUAUCUAUCUCUUGGAUGUGAAAUCGGAUGAAUCGCAAUGCUUAAUCUCAAUUCAAGACGAAGCAAGCUUAUGGCAUAGAAAGUUUGGUCACAUCAAUAUGAAGCAAUUAGCCAAAAUCUCAUCAAAGUAGCUUGUUCGUGGUCUACCCAACUUAUCAUACCAAAAGUCUGAUCUAUGCACUCCAUGUAUAUUGGGAAAGCAACUGCUACAUAUGGAUCUCUUCGGACCAACCAGAACCCGGAGUAUUGGAGGUAAGAAAUAUUGCCUAGUAAUUGUGGACGAUUACUCCCGAUUUACUUGGGUAUAUUUCCUUGCAAGUAAGUCCGAAACCUUCUUGUAUUUUGAAAAAUUUGCUAAAAAUGUUCAAAAUGAAAAAUGAUGUGUUAUCUCAAGUAUAAGAAUAGAUCAUGGAGGUGAAUUUGAAAAUCAAGAUUUUACAAAAUUUUGUGAUAAAUCUAGCUUUAAGCAUGUGUUCUCCUCUCCAUAUAUUCCUCAGCAAAAUGGAGUUGUGGAAAGAAAGAAUAGAUCUCUUCAAUAAAUGGCUAGAACUCUUUUAAUUGAAAGUAAGAUUUCUUCACGAUUUUGGGCUGAAGCUGUUUCAACAGGGUGCUAUAUCAUCAACAGAGUCUUUUUAAGACUUAUUCUAGAGAAAACCCCUUAUGAGCUAUUCAAAGGUAAGAAGCCUAUUGUUUCGCACUUUCAUGUGUUCGGUUGCAAAUGCUUUAUAUUGAAAAAUGCAAAAGAUCAAGUUGGUAAGUUUGAAGAAAGAUCAGAUGAAGGCAUCUUCCUUGGAUAUUCUACAUCAAGCAAAGCCUACAGAGUCUACAACAAGAAUAGUCAAUCUGUGGAGGAAUCAAUGAAUGUCAAAUUUCAAAAUUCUAUGCAAAAUGAAUCCAGUCAGACUCAUCAUGAAGAAUCUGAACCUGCUCCAGACUCUCCAAAGCUUACAACUCAAGAAGCAUCUCAGACUCUGGAAGACAAGCAUCAAGCUGUUCGUGAAGCUUCAAGUAAAGAAAGAGAUCAUCAACUUGACGAAUCAACCAGUAACUGGAAGCAUAAGUCCAGUCGUCCCAAAGAUCUUAUUAUUGGCGACAUCAAUGAAGGAAUUCGUACAAGAUCCAAAAGGCGCGAAGAGUCUAGCGCUGUGGCUCUCAUUUCUGAAAUUGAACCAAAAAGCAUAGAAGAAGCUUUAUCUGAUGAAAGCUGGAUUGAAGCUAUGCAAGAAGAGCUUAGACAGUUCAACAUUAAUGAUGUCUGGGAAUUGACAUCUAAAUCAAAAGGUAAAACUGUUAUUGGAGCUAAAUGGGUGUUCAGGAACAAGAUAAAUGAGAAAUGAAAAGUCCUAAGAAACAAAGCAAGACUCGUGGCCAAGGGUUAUACGCAAGAAGAAGGAAUAGACUAUGAUGAGACUUUCGCACCAGUAGUAAGGGUUUGAAGACCCAAAGAAGCCAGACUCAGUCUUCAGACUGAAAAAGGCUUUGUAUGGUUUAAAGCAAGCACCUCGAGCUUGGUACGACAGACUAAAUAAGUUCUUAAUACAGAAUGGUUUUGUCAAAGGUAAAGUAGAUACUACUCUAUUUAUCAAAAAGGAAAACAAAAGCUUUUUACUUGUUCAAAUAUAUGUGGAUGAUAUUAUUUUUGGAUCCUCUAAUGAAAGUCUGUGCAAGAAAUUCUCUAAGUCUAUGCAGGAUGAGUUUGAAAUGAGUAUGAUGGGAGAGUUAACCUUCUUUCUUGGACUCCAAAUAAAACAACUGAAUGAAGGAACUUUUAUCCAUUAAGAAAAAUAUGCUAAUGAUCUUCUCAAAAAGUUUGGGCUGGAAAAGUGCAAAAAGACUGACAUACCGAUGUCAAGUUCUUUAAAGAUAGAUAAAGAUGAAGAAGGGAAGAAAGUUGAUCAAAAGCUGUACAGGAGUAUCAUCGGUUCACUUCUUUAUCUUACUGUCUCUAGACCUGACAUUUUGUUGAGUGUUUGCAUCUGUGCUAGGUUUCAAUCAGAUCCUAGAGAAUCUCAUCUCAGUGCUGCGAAACGUAUUAUUAAAUACGUUGCUUCAUCUUCAAGCAUCGGUCUUUGGUAUCCUAAGAAGGGAGACUUUAAUCUUCUUGGAUAUUUAGACGCAGAUCUAGCCAGUUGCAGAGUUGAUAGAAAGAGUACCUCGGGAACUUGCCAGUUGCUUGGAAGCAGGACAGUGUCUUGGUUUUCAAGGAAACAAAAUACUGUGGCUCUCUCUACUACAGAAGCAGAGUAUGUAGCUCUUGGAAGUUGUUGUUCGCAAAUUCUGUGGAUAAAACAACAGCUACAAGACUUUGGAAUUGAAGACUCAUGCACUGAGAUUAGAUGUGACAAUACCAGCGCAAUUAAUCUCACUAAAAAUCCAAUCCUUCACUCAAGGGCAAAGCAUAUAGAGAUUCGACAUCACUUCAUUAGAGAUCAUGUUCAAAAUGGAGAAAUCUCGAUUCAAUUUGUUGAUUCAAAGAGCCAACUAGCGGAUAUAUUCACAAAGCCUUUGGAGAAAAAUCAAUUCGAUAUUAUCCAUUCCAGACUCAACAUUUUGAAGCUUGAGGAAGUUAAAGUCUAGAGACUCUCAGACCCUCAGACUCAGACAUUCAUGGCUAUAGACUGUAAGUUGUUUUAAUAUUCAAUCUUGAAAAGGUACGAUCAUUCGUUUAGUUAUAAUUGAUUUAUAUUAUCUUUAAAAGUGGAAUCUUGCCUUUUCAAAAAGGAUAACUUCUAUUUAAAAUGGUAGUUUUCUUUAAAAAAGGGCAAUUAUCGUUUUUAAAAAGGGAUGACUGUUCACUUUCCUUUAUGUCGAUUGGUUUUUUCCUUUUUAAAUUGGGUUAUAUAUAUAUAUAUAUACAGUCAGUUGUUUUCUUCGCUUAACUCCAAAACCCUAAAAAGCAUUCUCCUCCCAAUCCUGUCUCGACUUCGUGUUCAUCUUCGAGAAAGUUGUCAUCUUUUAUUGGGAAAGCGAGUCAAGGAAUCUUUCAACGACAAGGAACGAUGUCUUCUUCGAGAAAGUCUUCAAGAAUCGCGAGUAGGGGACCACAGAGAAUGAGGGAGGGUCCUACCCAUUUCGAUCUCACCGAGGAGGAAGAGUUACCGAGACAGCAACAGAGCCCGAUUGACUCUCAACCAUGUCACUCUCCACCAUCUACCCCACAGGGUGUGGGUCAACAACCGGAGGAAGAAAUAAUCGAGGAAGUAGACCCUGUAAGAACUCAAAAACCCUCAUUUAUUUACAAGCUCUAUCAUGCCUUGAAGAGCACUGGUACUCCGCUGAAUUAUGUAGAUGAUUUCCUUAAAGACAAGGGUUAUGGAAAUUAGUAUGUCUUUUUGCGACGAAUGGAGGAUUUGGGAAUUGCUCCCAAAGGAAAGGCUGAGGAAGCACUUGCAAACAUUCCAAGUGACCCUUGUGUAGGAGGAUUGAAUCCCAUUGACGGGAACGAUGAUGAUAAACUGUUUAGUGAAUUCCAACCUAGGAUGGGUGUUCCUGCGAAGGUUAAGGGAAAAAGAACGGAGUUGUUCAAAUCAAAGGAACAUGAGGAUCUGUUCAUCAAAUUAGCGAAACGUGGGGUGAUAAACCCCAGGAGCGUUGAUUUCGACUUUCUGGAUGCCAUCAAUGUGAACUUGAGGGAGAAGUUCAAUCUGUUUCAACUUGAGCAAUUUUGCUCCGACACCACAGAUGGCUAUGCACAAUUGACAACAUAUUUAUAUUCAAAUCUCAGAUUUUUAGAUGCGAAUAGAAUAUCCUUCAGUGUUUGAGACCAAGACUAUGUGGUAGAUGUGGACAUGCUGGCAGAUAUAAUUGGGGUUGAAAGAGGGCGAUAUCAACCGGUCAAGGUUUCAAUUGCUCGUACCUCACUAGAGCUCGUCAAAGACAGGAAUACGGAAGGAAGAAUUACCUACGCAAGAAUGUGUGCCAUCAACAUCAUACUUCACAAAAUUGUGAUCAAUUGUCUCAGGCCAAAAUCGACAUCUAAGACUAACGUGUCUAACUCUGAGGCGAAAUUGAUGUACACGAUCAACUCAGGGAGAAAGUUCUCUCUCCCUCACACCAUUCUCUUCCACAUGUACAGAGCGAUGGUGAAGGACAAGGGCCAAUUGCCUUACUCAGGUCUUGUGACCAAGAUCUUCAGACACUUGAACAUUGAAUCUCCACAAACUCUUUGUGUUCGAUCAUGCGACAAAAUGGUGGUGGGUUUGAAAAUGCUGACAAAAAUGCGUCUGAAAGAGCUUGAUAAGGCAAUGGAGAAGUUCAAAGUGAAAACUCCAGUCAAAUCUCAUCCAGUAUUUUCUGCAUCAAAAAGGAAAGGGAAGGAGCCCAUGGAUGCUCCAUCCAAAAAGAAAAGAACUCUUAUCUUAGAGGAUGAAGAUGAAGAGGAUGAACUCACUAUCUUUGCCUUGGCAUUGAAAAGGUUCAGUCAUUCUGUAUCCGAAUCAACAGAUCGACAAGAAAAAGGAAAAGAAGCAGAGGACAAAGAACAGAGAGAAGCAGAGGAAAAGGAAGAGAAAGAAAAAGAAGAAGAGGAGAAGGAAGUUGAAGAAGAAGAAGAAGAAGCAGUCAAAGAAAAGUCUGCAGAUGAAGCCGCAGAGAAACGCAAUCAAGACGCUGACGAGCAUGACCAUCAUUCUUCCCCAAUUGAGGCCUUAGAAACAGGGGGAGAUGGCGAGUAAGGAAGGACUACACCAUAUCCUGUCAACAGUGAAGGUGUGAGUCGCUCACCAGCAAAUCCAGAAGAUCUUCAGGCUUCUCAAAUGCCUGAGGAAGGACAUGAUACCUCAACGCCAAAUCUGCGCGAUUACACCGAAGUUCCAUCGUCUGCCUUUACUCCAUCCGAUAGAGCAAAUGCCAGCACGCAGACGGAUACUACAGCAAAUUUUCAUCGCAUCCUUGAUCUUCUUCUGGUAAUGCAGGGUCAAAUAUAUGCUUUGGAAUGUGAACUUCAAGUCCUGAAGAAUGCUGGACAAGUGUCUUCUGUUACCCUGUCGGAUCAAAUGCAAGACCUCGCUCUUCAAAUUCAAGCAAAUGCCAAAGGGGAAGAGGUGGCACAUCUACAGGAAGACUUGAAGAGGCUAUAAGGCAUCGUACAGUCGAUGGGAGAUUUCCAGCUUGUGCGCAUUCCCAAGCCGACUUGACUUUUUCCACCUUUUUAAUGAUGACAAAAGGGGGAGAAUUGCAAUCUUUGAACUUUGACUUUUUUAAAAAAAAAAAAUUUCACUUUAGUUUGUUUGGAUAUUUGUUUUGAGUAUGACUUGGGUGUGGAUUUGAAAUUGACUGUUGCAUUUAUAUCAAGUGUUAUUGCAUGGCUUUACUCAUGAAAGACUAACUUAUUUUCUGUGGAUGCAGAGUCUAGUUGAGUUGUUAAUCUUUAUGAGAUAUCCAUAUUGCUUGAGUAAUGUUUUGCAGGUCAAAGUUGUUCAAAUCUACAGGAAAGUUUUGUCACCAUCAAAAAGGGGGAGAUUGUUGGAGAAAUCUUUCCAUAAUAUUUUGAAGCUGACAAAACGUUUCUAUCAGUCUAGUCUUGAGCAUUGCAGACCCUUCUAUUUAAAGUUUGAAGACCUUCAGAUCACCAGACUCAAGACUCAAGACUCAAGACUCAAGACUCAAUACUAUUCUCACUGACAGUUUCUAAUCCAGCGACGAAGACGAUCCAUAGCUAAUGUGUUUGGUUGAGGAUUUGGUCUUAUCCACUGGAGAAGAUCUCUUGGCUGGAUAUGAUAUAACGGAUUCUUUUAUUCGAAAUCAAGAUCGUUUGAAGAUCCGAUGAUUGACGAAAUAUUCUUGGAAGGUUCUAUUCUUGGAAACCAAGAUCCUGAUUGUAUGAGCGAACAUGAUUGGUGGGCUAUUGAUAUGUACCUUUAAUAGCUCGAAUGAUCUUCUUAAUUGAUUCUGUCAAAUUGGAAGAUUGGAAGAAUUCCUUUGGUAAGUGCCAACGGGUAUGAUGGCAUAAAGGAGUAUAAAAGGAAGACGUUCCAGUUGUUUUAGAAGAUGCACGAUAGAGAAAUUCCAGAGUCUGAAGCUCCUUGAUUAUUAGUCGAUUCAUAUUGAGCAAAACUGUAUUCACAAAAGAGAGUCUAUACUUAGUGAUACCUUGAGAGAGUGUGGUAGAUCUUCUACACCGUGAAAUCAAGGAAGAACAGUGUUGUAACAUCUAUUUGUUCAUAGUGGAAUUCAGCCAGUGGGCUGUUAGUGCAGAAGAGUGGACGUAGGCUUGAAAUAAGCCGAACUACUAUAAACAUUGCGUUCAAUUUUAUCUUCCCUACUCUCAGUCUUAUUUUGAUUGUUGUUUGACGAGAAACAAUUGUCGCAAUUCUAUCAACUGUCUAAUAUUGUGCGAUUACCGUGAGAAAUUACUCUUUAUACCUAUUCACCCCCCUCUAAGUACUUUUACUAGCCAUAUUAGGACUCCGGGAAUGGAAUGCAAGAGCAGUCGCCGACAGGAGGUAGUCGAACGGAGAUGGUGGAGGUGGCUAGUAAGGUGAGUUCUGGAGAAAGGGCGGGGGAUGCUUUUUUUCCCCUUUCUAGAAAAAUCUCCCUGAAGAUGGUGGUCUCCCCUCCAUUUUCGAGAACGCCCUGCUUUUUUUUUUUUUUUAUAUGGGAAAUGGUGUCUCUUUUAAUAGAGAGCAUGAGAGAUCCCUAGAAAGAAGUGCCCUUUCAGAUUUGAAGAGGCGGAUAUUAGAGGAGAUGAAAGCUGAUGUGCUUCUCCGUAGAAAGAAGUGUCCUUUCAGAUUCGAAAAGGCGGCUAUUGGAGGAGAUGAAAGUUGAUGUGCUUCCGCAGAAUGUCUAACUAUCUGGUUGGGUUGCAGCUUUAUCUCUUAUGUGUAUAUCGCUUCGUUCUUCUUGACUGUGACUUUCUCGGAUCACGAGCAGUGAUAGUCAAAGAAAGCCAUAAAAAGGAAAACCAAAGGAUAAUUUAUUGCACGCAUGCAUAAAAUUUAUGUCGCAUCCCUCUUUUUUUAUUUUUCUUUCUUGUUUUGACUUGAUUUUUCUACUAAUAAAAAAAUAGAAACGAAAACCAACCACAAUUAUGAUACUCCGAGUGGUAAGCAUAUUCUCCACCAAACUAAUUUAAUAGAAGGCAGAUAGUGAUAGAAAAGAAAAUAAAAGGACAAUGAAUGCACGCGUAAUUGGUGUGUGGAACUUGCUUCUUAAGUUGACUGACCUUUUCCAUUAAUAGAAGAAUUAGAAAAGAAAACUAGCUAUACUCCCAUGCAUCCGGUGUCGAUAUACAUGAGUUAAAUGCAAAAACAUCGCAUGUUGGAUUAUUAUUAUUAUUUAUAGUGAAUGAUUUGACUCUUUUUUUUCCUUUCUGUCAGAACGGAUUCUAGACAAGCAAAUCCCAAAAUAAAUCUCCCUUACUUCUCAAACUAAAUUUCUUCAUACCAUAUCUAGCAUAUAUAUUAUGGAGUCAUCCCCUUUAGCCAAGUCACUUUGACCUCACUCCUUAAUUAUUAUCUUUUUCAAAUUUUGCAUUUAUUUUAUACUUUUAAUGCCACAUUUAGAAUUUCCUAGCUAAAGGGUUAUCUGCGGUCAAAUAACUAUUUAGGUAAUACUUAUUUUCCUUUUCAUUUCAUUUUUGUCAAACCUUUUAUUCCAUGUUAACACUAUGUUUUCUUAACUUCUUAGUAAAGAUUAUCACUUAUUCAUCUAAAGAUGUUUGUCAUUAAUGAUCGUAUAUUAUGAAUCAACUAUAUUUAUAUCGGCUUUAUCUUCUAGUAAAAACUGGAGCUUUACGACUUUGAAUAGCAAUGACAUUUAGAGGAUUCGUGGAAUGGGGAGUUCUACUUCAAUGUCUCAAUGAUAUUUUUUAGUGUAUGUACAAGACGUUCUCAUGUAGGAGCUUUUGGACACUUCUUGCAGAUAAAAGGAUUGCAAAAAGUUGAGAUUUUUAUUUUGCAUGGGUUAUAGUUUGAUUAAUGAAUGAUUUUGAGAGAACUUGCAAUCUAGAAGUGAUUUUGAGUGUUCUUUUUUUUCUCCUUUCAUAUCAAGUGAGAAAUACUAAAUCCUUUGAUAUAAAGUUUGUGCAUUCUCUCUUGAGUUGAAUUAUUGAAUUCAUCUAGUACUAUUAUAUAUUUUGGUGCUUUGUAGAGGGCCUUAUGGAGAAUUGACAUGUGGCUCAUUUAAUAGUUGCCACCUCGCUUUCAUUUUCUUUAAAUUAUUCAUCAUUUUUUCCCUUCAUUUCCAAGGAAGGUGCUUCGCAAAAGCCAGUAGACCAAACCUAGGUCCCUUCCAUGAGAUAAGUGUACCUAGUCAUCAACUAAGCAUCUAGUGUAAUAGACUUUCUUUGUUUCUCUAGCGAAGAAAGUUACUUCGAUUAAGUUUUGAUUUACAAUAAUUGAUUUAGUUGUUAAGCCAUGGAUUUAAGGUCAAUCUUAUGGUUAUGUUCAACCAUUUUUUUUAUUAUGAAUUGAGAAGAACUUUAACAAGAAAUACAUGAUGCAUUGUUUUCAAAUUUCUGGUCCAUUGAUUUUGCAGAUUCGCUCUGUCGGGUUCCAAUCAAAGUAUAUAAGGGCCGGUGUUAGAUCAAUGAUAGUUUAGUUGGAAUAUAGAUAGUGUAAGAGGAUGAUCAUCAAAGAGUGCUAAUCAAGUUUAGAAUUACAAAAAAGGAAGUGUGUCAGUAUCAAGGGACAAGGUCAUGAGGCCAUACGACACGGUAGGGACGUAUGGUGCGGCAAGCAAAUCAAUUUUAAAGUUUAAGCAUCUAGUAAGACAAUUGGCAUUUUAUAAGAUCAAUUUAAUUUGCUGGUCACAUCAUGUUAGUCAUCAGCGAUUUGACUGUUGAAUAAAAUAUUUUUCUCAAACAAGGGGAUAGUCUCUUGAAAAGUUUUCGAAUGCUAGAAUUUCCAAGCUUGCGAGAAUUUUGAGGAAACCUACUCCCUUUGAAGAAAUACUACUCAUCAUCAUCUAAAGUUGCAAGGACUUUCUAGCAAGUAUCACUGUUGAUAUGCACUUAGUAGUUACUAAAGUGAUAGGAUCAUCAUGAUAUAAACUCGAUCAAAUUGCUAACCUUAAAAGAAAGGUACUAACUACAGGUGUAGCGAUGAUCGUGAGGACUCCACCGGACUUAUGACCAUCGGAAAAAUAAUUGUUAUGUACAAACACUAUCAAUUACAAAUAAAGAUGAAAACUACUGUAUCAAUGGAGGAUUGCAAAAAGAUAGCAGGCUCAACAUAAGAAUAAUGAAGAGAUGUGCACGAUGGAUAGUUAAUAAUCAUAGGCGCAGUAUAACUUUCAAGGAUUUCAGGUGAUUUACACUUGUUCUAAAAUAUUUACCGAGAAAUUUCGUUUUUAUUAUGACCAUUUGAUGAAAUUACUAUAUGAUUUAAGUUUACUAAUGACUAAGACUAAUAUGCGGGUAUAACAAAUAUUAACUUUUGGCAACGGGCAAAGAUGACAUGUGGCUAUGACAUGACUACGUAUGGAAACACAUAAGCAAUCCCGCAACGUUUUCUGCUGGUCUAUAAACUGCAUGAACAAAAUUUGAAAUUGCCCAAGCAAAGGGAAACAAUACCAGGAAAAAUGAAAUAUGAAUACAAUUCCAUAAGGGAUAAGUAUAUCGGAAGUCAUAAAACUUAUUGCGAAAGUACAAUUAAGUUCCAAAACUUUAAAAAAGUGCAAUCCAAUUUUUGAACUUUAAAAAAGUUGAAUCCAGUCUUUAAACCAAAUUCACUAGUCAAUUGUCUUCAAGCACAACCUUCAAAUCAUCAUCUAUUUGCUCGCAUCUUAGCACAUGUCCAAACUUUUCCACAGUCCCAUCCAAUACUUCGAGUGUGAGGCUUAAAUUAUAAAUAAUUCUCAUCAUAUUCAAGAAAAAUCAAUUGCUCCCUCUAGCACAUGCCACAGCACAUUUUGUUUGAGAUAUCGAUCUCAUGUGUGAUCCAAAUCAAAUGAACUGAGAGUUCCCGACAGCACAAUAUUGUGCCCCUUACUAUGACCACCAGUAAAGUUAGAGGGGAUGAACUGUGCAAAUGUAUUUUCUGGACAUCGGUUUACUUCUCCGGCAGGGGAGCAUGUUCCGGUGGUGAAUGAAAAACUCGAACCUUUGUUUUUAACGUCUAUCGUUAUAUCCUUGAGUCUUUGAUGCGCAUUCUAUGAAAUUUAUUAGUCUUUCAUCCACAGUUUCUCUUGAAUAGUAUCCUGAUUUACUUGCAAAAUCUUACCUAUCUGACUCCAUGAGAUGAAUUGCGGAUAUAUGUUUUUCCAUUGGAAUUGCUCCUGCAACAAGAUACCUUCCACCGAAAGUUGUUCUUCAGUUUUAUUAGAGGAAAUGGGUUCUGUGCCAACUUCGAACAGAAAACAUAUAGGCAAAUGAAAGAACCGACAACUUUACUUCAAACAGGACUAUAAAAACACAAAUCUUGCCAAAAUUUAAUCAACGACAAUGUAUGGGAAGUACAAUUGGUUCAAAUGAACAGGAUAGAGAUAGAAUCUACCAGAAUUUAAUUGAUGACAAAACUUGAGAAUGUGAUAUCACGUCGGAAUUCAAUCGACAGUGCAAGCUACGGUUAAAGAAAAUGAAAUACUGUGCAAGAAAUGAUAAAUAUUAGUAAAUUUGUUUGAUUUGUGAGAGAUGUUUUGUGGAUGACUUAUAAUAUUUAUAAUGGUUCAACAAUAACUACCCCCACCUUUUUGUUAAAGGAUUGGUAAAGGUUUAAAUUUCGAGGACGAAAUUUUUGUAAGAGGGGAAGAGUUGUGACAUCCUGAAUUUCAUGUUCUGAUUUCGAUUGGAUAAGAUGGGCCUUUCGUCAACGUGACUAUAGUGUUUUUCUCUGAGUUGGCCACUCACGAGAUAACUGACCUGUCCGGUGAAGCCAUUCAGGGAUUUUAAACGCAAUAGACUUGAGAAUUCGACCAGGAAUUGACUACUCGACCGUGCUAGUCUGCAAGGGUCAUUACGGCAUUGUCAAAAUCGAUAAGAGAUCGGAGAUAGGUCGAUUUGACUGAGAUAUGUGAUCAAGUGUGGGUGAUGCCACCUGAUUGCAAAAUUCUCAUCGAUCGGCACUAAACCAAUUUUCUGUCGUUUUGGGUACCCUGUGCCCGUAUUUGAAACCUUGAGAUUUUCAUGAUCAUCGAGAGUUGCUAAUGAGUCGGAUGGGUUCAUUGUGGUUCGAAGAAAAUCGACCACGGGUCAAUUGCGCCAAAAAGUCCUAGAAGCUACCCGGUAGGUAAGGUCACACUAAAAGUGCGUUGGAUUGAAAAUAACCGCGAAUUUGAAUUCGAUUUCAGAAAUUGAAAGUCCUGUUGUGUCAUGAGUCAUUCUAGGAACGUCGACUCACUUUUCGAGGAAAUUUCGGGGAGUUCGGGAUUUUACGGAAAACCGGAUCGGACAAUACGGAAAAUGAGUGGAAAUUCGGAUUGGCUAAUUUGAAGAGACUUUUGACAUCUGGUGUAAGUGAAUCGGUGGAUGGAAGUUGUUUGGGCUUUUUCUGAUUUCAAAUUGGACCUCAACCGAAUUUAUUUGUUCAGAAAAUCGAAUUCCGAGAAAAAUGAAAUAAAAAUCGGUUUUGAAGGAAAUUCGUGAGAUGGAGAAAUCGAUUCAUCCCGGUCUUCAUCGAGACUUCAAAUCGUGCAAUUGGUAAAGAAUUAGACCCAAGAUGACCAAUCGACGAAGUUGGUUGAAGUUGAGCAAAGGGUGUUUAUGUUUUGUUUAAUUUUCUCUCCAUUCUCCUUGGAUCCACGCACUCAUGCACGUACCCCUCUUCGGCCGACAAUACUCAAGCCCAUCUUCACUUUGAAAAUUUCUUUGGUCUUCAUUUCUUUACAUGUUGACCAAUGGGACCCCCCUUCCUUCCUAUCCAAUUGCGGUCACAUCUCCCCCUCUCUUUUAUUUCUCCACUUUUCGCACGUUCCUCAUUACUUCAUCCGACAAUCUCUCUCUCGCACGAAACCCCCCUGCAGUCUUCAAUUUCUUCUUUUCCUUUGACCGGUCUUCUCUUUUAUCCUUUUUCACUUGCUUCCCACGCCAGGGCAGCUGAACCCUACUCCCUCACGUCUUCUGCUUUCUUUAAUUUGCUUGGACGGAAGCAAACCCGCAGAAGCAGCCCCACGAUUCCUCCUCCUCUACCAUGGCCGCACUCACGCAUGCCCUCAUCCCCACCGAAGCCACCACUUGUCUGCAGCUCAUCUUCCCCGAGUCAAACCAGCGGGUUCUCCAGCGAAGCCUCCCUCAAUUUCUUCGCAUCUCUCUCUACCGAAUUGCUACCCCACGUUCCUCCAUCGAAGACCCAACUGAAAUCCCUCAACCGCUUCCCCUCUACCAGCGAAUUCUCUACGCCAGCAUCACCUUGCUGACCUCCUGUUUUGUUGACCACCGAGCGGGCUUCAAUCCGCGUGUCUUCCAUCUUCGGCCAGCAGCUGCUCCCUCCGUCUCUGCCACAUCCCAGUUAACCGAAGCAGCGUUGAAGGCAACGAAAUUUACUCAGCAUCGGGCGAAGUUCCCUUGCCAGCGAAGCUCGAAGCAACCAAAGCAGCAGUCCAGCGUUUCCGCGUGGUCUUCCCCAGCUCGACGCCGCAAGCCGUUGCUUCCUUCGCUCACGUGUCUUCGGCCCAGUCCGUGAGGCCAGCGUCCAUUUCUUUUGCCCGUGGACCAGCCACAGCGAGCCCACUCAGAUUUUUUCAGCGGCCCAAUCCAAUAGUUCAGCCCGCGUGGAGCUCAACCCAUCUUCAGCACUAUCAGCCCAGCAAGCCUAACCUGUUUGCAGCCCAGUUUUUGAGGCCCAUUUUCCAGCAAAUCAAUUGAAGUCAGGCCCACCGAAUCAGUGGACUCAGCCCAGCUCGAGCAGCGAGCUUGUAGGCCGAUUUCGGCCCCGGUUUGACCCCGGUUGGCGGACUCGCUUUGGAGAGAAUCGAGCCUUGUCGCGUGCUCGUCGGUUUGAUCCGAUCAAAUCUUUAAUCAAGUGAGUUUUACUCACUAAUGCUUUAUUAGUUUGCUAAUUAUGCUUAAGGUUGGUUAGAUUUAAUUAAGUGCAAUUAGGUGGUUAGAUUAGGUUAGAACAAUUAAAUUAGUGCCUUAAUGAUGCAUGUUAGGUGGCUAGACUUAGUUAUUAGCAAGUAGAAAGGUUCGGUUAUUUAUUGAAUGCAUCUCGGGAUUUUCCCGACCCGUUUCGGGCUCCAAUAAGGCAAUAUAGGCCUAAAUUGGAUUUUUAAUGUUUAUUUAUGUAUUUUCGAAAUUUAUUUAUUUAAUUAAUUAUUUUUCCGGAAAUUCAACCGGGAUGGCCGGUGACCGGAAUUUCGUGCCGAUUGUCGUGGUGCAGACCGUUUAUUUAUUUGAGCUCUACGUUGUGUGGAAUUGAAUUUAUUGUGGAAUUUUAGGAAUUGUCCUAAAUUGUUUGUUAUUGAAUAUUUGAUUGGUUGUUGGCCGAAUAUGGGUAUAUAGCGCCAGUACGUUGAUGGGCUAUAUAGUAGGGAGGAUGGUGAGAUCAAUCAGGUACGAUAUUAUUGGACAUACGUGGUUCGGUGAUUGGAAGUAUCACUGGCGAAAACGGCGCCUUAAAGAACGCACGUAAAUGACUUAUAGACACACGUGGUUCGGUGGUUAUGGGAAUAUCACUGGUGAAAACGGCGCCUUAAAGAACGCACGAUGUUGUCUAUAGCCGAUGUCACCUUGGCGAAAACGGCGCCCUUGAAAGGACACGUGGUUCGGUGAUCAAGGUUAUCACUGGUGAAAACGGCGCCUUAAAGAACGCACGGUGUCGGUGAUCGGUAUGUCAUUGGCGAAAACGACGCCCGAGAAACACAUGUGAUUUGGUGAAUGAGUACACCACUGAGAAAGUGUGGUAUGAGUGGGAAUGACCUAGAGAGGGUCUGACUGACAUGUAAUCGACUUAGUCGAUUGAUCAAUGCUUGAUCGAAUGUCGUGAAUUGUUGGAAUAUCUGUGUUUAACCUUGAAUUGCAGGUUGGAACUGAGACCAAGGUAAGUCCUCUGACUCGUGUUGUACUUAGGCAACCGUAUGGCAUAUUAGUUUACUAAUCGAGUCGUAGGGGGUAGGACUCGCUGAGACGUGGUCUCAUUGGUUAUUGAAUAACCAUUUCAGGGACCUGAGGAGAAGCUAAGGAAGAGGAACCUGAAGGGGAGAAAGACUUUUGAAGAAGAAGACGAUCCAGAGAGGGAUCUUGAUUAUAACCCGGAUGUGGACUGAGAUCCCAUCCCUUUUGUAAACCCUGUCUUAGCAUAGAUAGGUGUGAGACAAGUAUGUUGUG
rnacentral:lncRNA from 1 species